AUUGAACGCUGGCGGCAGGCCUAACACAUGCAAGUCGAACGAGUGGCGGACGGGUGAGUAAUGUCUGGGAAACUGCCCGAUGGAGGGGGAUAACUACUGGAAACGGUAGCUAUUACCGCAUACCAUCGGAUGUGCCCAGAUGUGAUUAGCUAGUAGGGGGGGUAACGGCUCACCUAGGCGAAGAUCCCUAGCUGGUCUGAGAGGAUGACCAGACACAAUAGAAUUGAGACACGGUACAGACGCCUACUGGAGGCAGCAGUGGGGAAUAUUGCACAAUGGGCGCAAGCCUGAUGCAGCCAGGCCGCGUGUAUGAAGAAGGCCUUCGGGUUGUAAAGUACUUUCAGCGAGGAGGCGUUACGCGCAGAGUAAGCACCGGCUAACUCCGUGCCAGCAGCCGCGGUAAUAC
rnacentral:rRNA from 1 species